rnacentral:rRNA from 1 species
CGUGCGGUUCUAUUUUGUUGGUUUCUAGAGUCGCCGUAAUGAUUAAUAGGGAUAGUUGGGGACAUUUGUAUUGCGUUGCUAGAGGUGAAAUUCUUGGAUUUACGCAAGACAAACUACUGCGAAAGCAUUUGUCAAGGAUGUUUUCAUUAAUCAAGGACGAAGGUUAGGGGAUCGAAAACGAUCAGAUACCGUUGUAGUCUUAACCAUAAACUAUGCCGACUAGGGAUCGGACGAUGUUACAUUUUGACUCGUUCGGCACCUUACACGAAAGUAAAGUUUCUGGGUUCUGGGGGGAGUAUGGUCGCAAGGCUGAAACUUAAAGAAAUUGACGGAAGGGCACCACCAGGGGUGGAGCCUGCGGCUUAAUUUGACUCAACACGG